CGUUAGGCUUUAUUGCGACUAAAGGUGCUUUCGAAAAAAAAAACAAUAGAUGGUUUUACAAGGCAAUGCAAUAUGUCUGGUCUUUCUACGGGCUCGUAUACGAUGAUGGAUGGUGUAUCAUGCCAAACACUUAACUGGAGCCAGGGCACGUGUUGAGCCAUCUGUGCUGCCUAAAUUUUGGUUCAAAUUAUUUGUACCCUAUUGUUAUUUUAGUUCUGUAGUAACAGUGAGACAUGCAGAGUGUUCCAGAAUCGUGGCAAAGGUAGGUGUGUACUAGGAUAAACAGAUAAGGAACACCGAGCUAAUCUAUGCUAUUCCAAAAGAGGUUUUGUGCUGUCACAAGCUUUUGUGGUCUCUGAAGCUGAACUGAACUAAAAAAGUAGUGAUAUUGGAAGCUUGAGUUCGACCCAACUUAGGUGAGUU
rnacentral:sRNA from 1 species